AUUGAACGCUGGCGGCAGGCCUAACACAUGCAAGUCGAACGAGUGGCGGACGGGUGAGUAAUGUCUGGGAAACUGCCUGAUGGAGGGGGAUAACUACUGGAAACGGUAGCUAAUACCGCAUACCAUCAGAAGUGCCCAGAGGGGAUUAGCUAGUGGGUGGGGUAACGGCUCACCAAGGCGACGAUCCCUAGUUGGUCUGAGAGGAUGACCAGCCCCACUGGAACUGAGACACGGUCCAUAUUCCUACGGGAGACAGCAGUGGGUAAUAUUGCACAAUGGGCGCAAGCCUGAUGCAGCCAUGCCGCGUGUAGGAAGAAGGCCUUCGGGUUGUAAAGUACUUUCAGCGGGGAGGCUUUACCCGCAGAAGAAGCACCGGCUAACGCCGUGCCAGCAGCCGCGGUAAUAC
rnacentral:rRNA from 1 species